rnacentral:piRNA from 1 species
UCCCUACAAACACACAAUGACGUGACC